GUCAGUACGGUGCUGCUAGGGGGCUGGGGAGGAGAGGGUGGUGGGCCCAGUGGGGUCUGGGUGAGCUUGGGGGCCCGCUGCCGGGUUACGGCAGGUCCUGCAAGCUCCAGGCCCCAGCCCUGCUCUGAGUCUGGCCUGGCGCCGGCCCAGGGGCAGACUCUGCCAGGAAGGACUGAGCCGAGCUGGGGCGAGGCGGGGCCCUGCCUGGGCUGGCCUCUGAAGGGGCAGAGGAGGAAGAGAGGGGACCAAGGUCGAGGGGACUCCUGGCUUUGAGGAGCCAAAGAAUGAGUGUCUCUUUCUGUCUCUGGCCCCCUGAAAGCGUAAUGCCCAGAUUCACUGGAGGGCGUCGUGGGCUGCCCAGGAGCCAGCAAAUUCCCAGGUCACCGAGACUGAACUCGUGGCCUUUGAAAGAGAGGGGCCGGGUGCACAGCCCGCUGCGGAACUAAACCAGUGUGGGGCGUGGGGAGUGCUGGAAGCCCCUUGCUAGAGAGUUCUCUUUGUGUACGUGUGUCGUGAGGGGUGAGUCACGGGACACUGAAGAUGGCAGAACUGGUCUUUUCCCGCUGGACAGGCUCCUGGCUUGCCUCGCACAGGGAGAGUGCUCCGUGAAAGUCCUGGGGAUGUUUGCUCUGGAUGAGAAAAGUCUUAGCCCAGAGGAGUAAAAAGCAGCCCCACCCUGUGGCCCCUCAGGUUGGUCUGAGGGUCCCAGGAGGCACAGGCAGGAGCGCGUUGGAAAACGGCGUUGCCAGCGCUGUGGACAUAAAGCAGGACCUACUGGUGCUGAUGUUUCCGGGGGUAAGCGGCGAUGUGUCCAGGGGCCGGGCCCGGCCUGGGGCAGCCGACUGCUACCCCCAUCUCCUUCCGCCCUCCCCACCCACACCGCUGGGCUUGCCCUCCAGCCAGUGAC
rnacentral:lncRNA from 1 species